rnacentral:lncRNA from 1 species
AUGUGGCCGCGCCGCCGCAGCUGGAGCGGGAGCGGCCGCCAGAGGAGCGCGGGGAGGAGGAGGAGGAGGAGGAGGAGGAGGAGGAGGAGGAGGAGGAGGAGAAUGAGGAGGAGGGCUUCAGUGGCGGCCCGGAGUUACCUCCACGCUCGGCUCCCCCGCCCUUGCCGCCCGGAGCCACUCACCCGACGAGCCACCUCCCCUCCUCCCCGCGCUCCCCUCGCCGCUUCGGGCCGCAGGCGGUGCCGCCCCGCCGCCGAGUCCUGGGGUGAGCCGGCUCCGGGUAGGGGCCCCGGCCACGGGGGGCUGUCACUGUGUGGAGGUGCCCCGGGCGCCCCCGGGGUCCGCCUCCGCGUCCGCGUCCGCCUGCCCGGCUGCGCCAAGUGCGCGCACCGCUGCCGAGGUCGCUGUCGCGGGCGAGGGCAGACCUCGUGCGAGCGGAGGCUCGGGGCUGUGGGUGCGUGGGGUGCCUGGGCGGGUUUGGAGAGCUUUAUUAACAAAGUGGAGUUGGGAGUUGUGGUGCGGCACCGAGGGGACGCAGGACCAGCCAGGUGUCCGUCUGCGACCGUGCGCCCCUUGGCGACGCUGGCGUGCGUGUGUACAGGGACGGCGGGUGCAGGGACGCCCAGGAGGGUCUUGGCGCUCGCUCGCUCCUGGACGGCGGCCGCAGUCCCCGCGGCGCCGGGUAGAGCCUGGAGAGCGAGGCGGGUCGAUUCCGCGGGGUGUGGGGCCGGCGGAGCGCGCAGGUGGCGCGGCGGGGAGGCGCCGGGGCUGGAGCCCGCAGCUCGGCCGCGCAGGACGUCGGUGCGGCGCGGGCGGUCAGCCUCGGCUCGGGCGGUCGCGGGCCGCGGGGCUCACCCCGGAGGCGCUGCUCCCGGACCGGGCCUAGGGGCCGCGCUCGCACAGCCGCCGCUCCUGGGCCGCCGCCUCAUGACCGCGCCGCAGCCUCGGGCUCCCGCGCGCCGCUCAUGCCGUGCUGGGGGCCUGGGGCGAGCGCAGGGGCUCCGGGGGCGCUGCGGGCGCAGGGUCCGGGCCUCGGCUGCGGGAGCGAGCUGCGUCCGGUGGCGGCCUCGGAUCCCGCGGGGCCGGCGCGCCUUCCCCUCCCUCGCGGUCCGGUCGCGGCUCCCGCCUUCCCGGGCGGCUCGGAGCGGCGGGCGCGCAGCCCGGCUGCGGCCUUUUAUAGGGCGCCUCCUCCGCCUCCUGCCGGGUUCCCGCCUCCCCCUUCCCUGCGCCCGCCCCCUGGGCCCUCCCCGCGAGCCGAGCCCUCAGCCUAGGCGUCCGCACACGUUCGUGUCGCAGAUUUCCAAGCCUGCCUCGCUCCUGGGACUCCAGUGCGCCGGGACUGAUCCUUCCGAUUCUCCUUCGGUGACCGAAAUUGAAUAA